rnacentral:rRNA from 1 species
AAUCAACGCUGGCGGCGUGCCUAACACAUGCAAGUCGAGCGAGAAAGGAUAGCAAUACCUGAGUACAGCGGCGCACGGGUGAGUAACACGUGGGUAAUCUGCCCUGGAGUGGGGAAUAACACCGGGAAACCGGUGCUAAUACCGCAUAAGAUGACGAGGUCUGCGGAUUUUGUCAUGAAAGGAGCAAUUCGCUCCAGGAGGAGCCGCGGCUGAUUAGCUAGUUGGUGAGGUAAUGGCUCACCAAGGCAACGAUCAGUAGCCGGUCUGAGAGGACGGUCGGCCACACUGGAACUGAGACAC